rnacentral:rRNA from 1 species
UUCUGGGAGGAUUGACGGAUUGAGAGUUUUUUCUUGAUUCGGUGGAUGGUUUUGCAGUCCGUUCUUAGUUGGUGGAGGGAUUUGUCUCGUUAAUUCCGGUAAGGAACGAGACUCUAGCCUAUUAAAUAAGGACGUUGUUCUCUGCACCUUGCACCCUUCUUAGAGGGACAAGCGGCUCCUAGCCGCACGAAACAGAGAAAUAACAGGUCUGUGAUGCCCUUAGAU